CUACGGGUGGCUGCAGUGAGGAAUUUUGCGCAAUGGGGGAAACCCUGACGCAGCAACGCCGCGUGAGUGAUGAAGGCCUUCGGGUCGUAAAGCUCUGUCAAGUGGGAAGAAACUGCCCUGUGCUAAUAUCACUGGGCAUUGACGGUACCACUGAAGGAAGCACCGGCUAACUCCGUGCCAGCAGCCGCGGUAACACGGAGGGUGCAAGCGUUAUUCGGAAUCACUGGGCGUAAAGAGCGCGUAGGCGGUCUCUUAAGUCAGAUGUGAAAGCCCGGGGCUCAACCCCGGAAGUGCAUUUGAAACUAAGGGACUUGAGUAUGGGAGAGGGAAGUGGAAUUCCUGGUGUAGCGGUGAAAUGCGUAGAUAUCAGGAGGAACACCGGUGGCGAUGGCGACUUCCUGGACCAAUACUGACGCUGAGGCGCGAAGGCGUGGGGAGCAAACAGGAUUAGAUACCCGCGUAGUC
rnacentral:rRNA from 1 species